CCUACGGGAGGCAGCAGUGAGGAAUAUUGGUCAAUGGACGAGAGUCUGAACCAGCCAAGUAGCGUGAAGGAUGACUGCCCUAUGGGUUGUAAACUUCUUUUAUAAAGGAAUAAAACGAGGCACGUGUGCCUUUUUGCAUGUACUUUAUGAAUAAGGAUCGGCUAACUCCGUGCCAGCCGCCGCGGUAAUACGGAGGAUCCGAGCGUUAUCCGGAUUUAUUGGGUUUAAAGGGAGCGUAGAUGGGUUGUUAAGUCAGGUGUGAAAGUUUGCGGCUCAACCGUAAAAUUGCAAUUGAUACUGGCAGUCUUGAGUACAGUUGAGGUAGGCGGAAUUCGUGGUGUAGCGGUGAAAUGCUUAGAUAUCACGAAGAACCCCGAUUGCGAAGGCAGCUUACUAAACUGUGACUGACAUUGAUGCUCGAAAGUGUGGGUAUCAAACAGGAUUAGAUACCCUUGUAGUC
rnacentral:rRNA from 1 species